GUUUUGAAGGAUCGAAGAGCUAGCUUCAUGCUUCGAGGUAGGGAAAAAAGACGGAGAUUGGGGUUUUUUUUCUUCAUAGGGUUUUGGGAAGACAGAGGCAAUCGUUGCUGAAGUUAGUGCUGUAUUGGUGAAUCGGGAUUUUAAUGAAGUGGGUGUGAUUACUCUUGACUGUUUUGUGAAAUCGAGUUACGUCUGUGAUAAAGAAUUAAAAGGGUGUCUAUAGGAUUGAGUAGGCGAAGUGAAUGAAAUUUAUUGGGUUAAUCUAACGAGAUAGUUAGUAGAUACAAGAUCGUGAGUAUAAAGCGGUAUCGAAGAUUAGUAGUUUGGGUUGUUCGGGGUUCUCUGUAACGUCUAGAGACCUACCGG
rnacentral:lncRNA from 1 species